rnacentral:rRNA from 1 species
CCUACGGGGCGCUGCAGUGAGGAAUAUUGGUCAAUGGGCGGAAGCCUGAACCAGCCAAGUAGCGUGCAGGAUGACGGCCCUACGGGUUGUAAACUGCUUUUAUACGGGAAUAACGCGCCUUACGUGUAGGGCUUUGCAUGUACCGUAUGAAUAAGGACCGGCUACUUCCGUGCCAGCAGCCGCGGUAAUAAGGAAGGUCCGGGCGUUAUCCGGAGUUUAUGGGGUUAAAGGGAGCGUAGGCGGCAUGUCAAGCGUGCUGUGAAAUGUCCGGGCUCAACCCGGGCCUUGCAGCGCGAACUGGCGUGCUUGAGUCCGCGGAAAGCAGGCGGAAUUCGUCGUGUAGCGGUGAAAUGCUUAGAUAUGACGAAGAACCCCGAUUGCGAAGGCAGCUUGCUGCAGCGGAACUGACGCUGAUGCUCGAAAGCGCGGGUAUCGAACAGGAUUAGAUACCCCAGUAGUC